AAUAGAUACCCCGGUAGUCCACGCCGUAAACGAUGAGUGCUAAGUGUUAGAGGGUUUCCGCCCUUUAGUGCUGCAGCAAACGCAUUAAGCACUCCGCCUGGGGAGUACGGCCGCAAGGCUGAAACUCAAAGGAAUUGACGGGGGCCCGCACAAGCGGUGGAGCAUGUGGUUUAAUUCGAAGCAACGCGAAGAACCUUACCAGGUCUUGACAUCCCCUGACAACCCUAGAGAUAGGGCGUUCCCCUUCGGGGGACAGGGUGACAGGUGGUGCAUGGUUGUCGUCAGCUCGUGUCGUGAGAUGUUGGGUUAAGUCCCGCAACGAGCGCAACCCUUGAUCUUAGUUGCCAGCAUUCAGUUGGGCACUCUAAGGUGACUGCCGGUGACGAACCGGAGGAAGGUGGGGAUGACGUCAAGUCAUCAUGCCCCUUAUGACCUGGGCUACACACGUGCUACAAUGGAUGGUACAAAGGGCUGCAAAACCGCGAGGUUAAGCGAAUCCCAUAAAACCAUUCUCAGUUCGGAUUGCAGG
rnacentral:rRNA from 1 species